AAAACAGAGAAAGUGUAAAAAAAAAAAAAUAUGAUAGAUUGUCAGUGAAGAUCCGGAUUUUGAAUUCUCCCAGAACAAAAACAAAAAAACAAAUGCAGUCAAAGCCACAGAAUCAGAGAAAAAUACUUUUGUUACAUAGUACCAUCAUCUCAGAGCUGCGAGAGAAAUACCAGAAGCAACAGAGUGCAAAAGACCACCAAAUGAUAUCCAAGGUUUUGGCUGGGAAAAUACUGAAAAGCACUGCACGGUGAAAAUAGCACAAAUAGAAUUUGGAUUCUCUGCAAAGACAAUGCGGGCAAACAACAAACAGCCAACCUGUCUGAAGUACUCAAGAAAGAGACAUUUGAAUGCAAUCAGCCCAGCAACAGAAGAUGAAAUAAAAAGGUUAUUUGAACGUGAUGAUAACAGUCAAGCAUCAAAAGGAAAAAGGGAAACAUUGACAAGACACAAGAAUAAAAUGCAGAAGUGAUACCUGAACGACACACUGGCAAAACUCCAUCAGAAGUUCAAGAUAGAAUUACCAGAGGUCAAGCUGUCAUAUACAGAGUUCACCAAAAGACGUGCCUUUUGGAUUGUCAAUCGAUCAGUGUAAGACACAUGCCAACCUUCCGUUCAUGGCAGACAAGUUGUUAUAGCACAAAGAGCUCCAGACUUCCUCUUUUGAUGGUGGACAACCAACAUGGUGGUUUGAGUGGUAAGGCAAGGCAGAAGCGAGAGCGAGAGUGAAGAAAACAAAAGAUGGAACAAAAUAGAAGUUUACUGUCCAUUUGACUGUAAAGGUACCCUUCAAACUCUACUGGAAGACUUCACAUCCAAUGAGAAGAACACACUCGGGAAACAUGUCUUCAAUAUCAGACAUCACUAUUCUACAUCAAGGAGUCUCAGAAAACAUCCUAUAGAAGUUAAUCCUUCAUGUGGAUUUCACAGAGAACUACCUGUGCAUGUAUGCCUCUGAAAUACAGGCGGUGUAUUUUGGAGACUCUCACCAGCAGACAACACUUCACACCGGGGUUGUAUACACUAAAGAAGGUGUUGUGUCAGUGUGAUCAGUCAGCUCAUCAAUGCAUCAUGACCACUCGGCAUGACGCAUCAAAAGUCCUCUCCCACCUCCACGAGUUGAAUCCAUCUGCCACUGUACUCCGUAUUGUAUGUGAUGGACCGAUCACACAGUACAGAUCCGAGAAGAAUUUCUUCAACCUGAGCACAAUUCCAUUUCAACUGGGGUUUCAGACGAUCACCUGGAAUUCUUGGUGUCUGGACAUGGGAAAGGUCCUGGGGAUGGAUCGGUGCAGCUGUGAAGAGAAAAGCAGAUUCCAUAUUUGCAAAAGAAAAGGACCUUCCGAACGGACAAGUUUUCUACGAGGAACUUUCAAAAGAGCAGUCAAAUGUGAAGCUCUUUUACGCCACAGAGCAAGAGAUUGAGAAAAUGGAUCCCCUGCUACCAGAUUGUCUGGAGAGGAUCCGUGGAACAAUGAAUAUACACCAGGAAAUAUUGAUCAUAUCGUUACUGCCAUUCCAGGACAAAUCACAUGGAGAGCUCUAAGUUGGUUCUGCUCAACUCCACUGUGUGAUUGUUAUGGCCCACAGACCAUGAUAAUUCAACAAACAGAGGCAGAAAGCAGAACCUUCCACUUCCACUUGCACAACACCACAGCCAUCUCCUAGCUCAGUACAACCCAUUGCCGACAUACAUGAGGGACUGAUUGAAAAGUGGUGUGUUGUGAAAUAUGAUGAAGACCCUUACCCUGGUAUUAUACAAGAUGUUGAUGCAGAGAGCUGUGCUCUAGUCAAAACGAUGAGUUGUGUGGGAGCCAACCGAUUAUUUUGGCCAAUGAGAGAGGACAUUGUAUGCUUGGGCUUGUCUCUGAGCCUCAUCCAGUGACAAAAUGGCAUAUGAUGCUUGAGAGGAAAUAUGCUCUUUUGUUAAGCAAUAGAGAGCAAUAUGGGCUAAUCGUGAGUGAGCACAUACCUGUCUCAUGAGUCUGAAUCAAUAGACUGCAACCAGUGAGCAAUAAUUUGUUUCAUUUCAACCAGUGUUUCCUAUCUUGUACAUGUAUUUCUGCCUAAUGCUUUGAAUCCCCAAAUUGUUCUAAAAGAUGCUUUAAGUUGUUGAGGCAUGCAGACUUUGUGUUUUGAGGUUUUGAAUGGUGUGUUCUAUGUCUUCAAUAAAAUGAAACGUACAACUGUGA